CACACCGCCCGUCACGUCAUGAAAAGUUGGUAACACCUGAAGUCAGUGGGCUAACCGCAAGGAGGGCAGCUGUCGAGGGGUGGGGCCAGCGAUUGGGACG
rnacentral:rRNA from 1 species